AGUUAAUGAGCUUGACACAAGCUUAUGUUUUGAAAACAUACUAUAGAAAUUAUAAUUUUCUAUUAACUU
rnacentral:tRNA from 1 species